CCUACGGGAGGCAGCAGUAGGGAAUCUUCCACAAUGGACGAAAGUCUGAUGGAGCAACGCCGCGUGAGUGAUGAAGGUUUUCGGAUCGUAAAACUCUGUUGUAAGGGAAGAACAAGUACGAGAGGGAAUGCUCGUACCUUGACGGUACCUUGCGAGAAAGCCACGGCUAACUACGUGCCAGCAGCCGCGGUAAUACGUAGGUGGCAAGCGUUGUCCGGAAUUAUUGGGCGUAAAGCGCGCGCAGGCGGCCUUUUAAGUCUGAUGUGAAAGCCCCCGGCUCAACCGGGGAGGGUCAUUGGAAACUGGAAGGCUUGAGUACAGAAGAGAAGAGUGGAAUUCCAUGUGUAGCGGUGAAAUGCGUAGAGAUGUGGAGGAACACCAGUGGCGAAGGCGACUCUUUGGUCUGUAACUGACGCUGAGGCGCGAAAGCGUGGGGAGCAAACAGGAUUAGAUACCCUGGUAGUCCACGCCGUAAACGAUGAGUGCUAGGUGUUGGGGGUUUCCGCCCCUCAGUGCUGAAGCUAACGCAUUAAGCACUCCGCCUGGGGAGUACGGCCGCAAGGCUGAAACUCAAAGGAAUUGACGG
rnacentral:rRNA from 1 species